rnacentral:rRNA from 1 species
UUAGAGUUUGAUCCUGGCUCAGGAUGAACGCUAGCGGCAGGCUUAACACAUGCAAGUCGAGGGGCAGCGAGAGUAGCAAUACUUGUCGGCGACCGGCGGACGGGUGCGUAACGCGUAUGUAACCUACCUUAUACAGGGGAAUAACCCAGAGAAAUUUGGACUAAUACCGCGUAAUCUAAUUGGAGGCAUCUUUAGUUAGUAAAAGAUUUAUCGGUAUAAGAUGGGCAUGCGUAAGAUUAGGUAGUUGGUAGGGUAACGGCCUACCAAGCCGACGAUCUUUAGGGGUUCUGAGAGGAAGGUCCCCCACAUUGGUACUGAGACACGGACCAAACUCCUACGGGAGGCAGCAGUGAGGAAUAUUGGUCAAUGGGCGCAAGCCUGAACCAGCCAUGCCGCGUGCAGGAUGACGGCUCUAUGAGUUGUAAACUGCUUUUUUACGAGGGUAAAACCUGGAUUAUUUCCAGCUUGAAAGUAUCGUAAGAAUAAGGAUCGGCUAACUCCGUGCCAGCAGCCGCGGUAAUACGGAGGAUCCAAGCGUUAUCCGGAUUUAUUGGGUUUAAAGGGUGCGUAGGCGGUUUGGUAAGUUAGUCGUGAAAUAAUAAGGCUUAACCUUAUAUGUGCGGUUGAUACUGUCAGACUAGAGAUUAUGUGCAGUGGGCGGAAUGUGUGGUGUAGCGGUGAAAUGCUCAGAUAUCACACAGAACACCGAUUGCGAAGGCAGCUCACUAACAUACAUCUGACGCUGAGGCACGAAAGCGUGGGGAUCAAACAGGAUUAGAUACCCUGGUAGUCCACGCUGUAAACGAUGAUAACUCGUUGUCGGGGAGCAAUCUUCGGUAACUAAGCGAAAGCGAUAAGUUAUCCACCUGGGGAGUACGACCGCAAGGUUGAAACUCAAAGGAAUUGACGGGGGCCCGCACAAGCGGAGGAACAUGUGGUUUAAUUCGAUGAUACGCGAGGAACCUUACCCGGGCUUGAAAGUUAGCGACCGUCCCUGAAAGGGGACUUCUCUUCGGAGCGCGAAACUAGGUGCUGCAUGGUUGUCGUCAGCUCGUGCCGUGAGGUGUCGGGUUAAGUCCCAUAACGAGCGCAACCCUUGUCUUUAGUUACCAGCGAGUAAUGUCGGGGACUCUAGAGAGACUGCCGGUGUAAACCGUGAGGAAGGUGGGGAUGACGUCAAAUCAGCACGGCCCUUACGUCCGGGGCGACACACGUGUUACAAUGGUCGGUACAAAGAGUUGCGAUACAGUGAUGUAAAGCUAAUCUCAAAAAGCCGAUCUCAGUUCGGAUCGUAGGCUGGAACUCGCCUACGUGAAGUUGGAUUCGCUAGUAAUCGCGCAUCAGCCAUGGCGCGGUGAAUACGUUCCCGGGCCUUGCACUCACCGCCCGUCA